GGUUAAGCGACUAAGCGUACACGGUGGAUGCCCUGGCAGUCAGAGGCGAUGAAGGACGUGCUAAUCUGCGAUAAGCGUCGGUAAGGUGAUAUGAACCGUUAUAACCGGCGAUUUCCGAAUGGGGAAACCCAGUGUGAUUCGUCACACUAUCAUUAACUGAAUCCAUAGGUUAAUGAGGCGAACCGGGGGAACUGAAACAUCUAAGUACCCCGAGGAAAAGAAAUCAACCGAGAUUCCCCCAGUAGCGGCGAGCGAACGGGGAGCAGCCCAGAGCCUGAAUCAGUGUGUGUGUUAGUGGAAGCGUCUGGAAAGGCGCGCGAUACAGGGUGACAGCCCCGUA
rnacentral:rRNA from 1 species